rnacentral:rRNA from 1 species
UUCCGGUUGAUCCUGCCGGACCUGACUGCUUAUCGGAAUGAUACUAAGCCAUGUGAGUCAUUGUAGUAAUACAAGGCAGACGCUUCAGUAACACGUAGGCCAAUCUAACCUAUGGACGGGGAUAACCUCGGGAAACUGAGGAUAAACCCCGAUAGAUCAUUAUGCCUGGAAAGGUUUAUGGUUCAAAUGAUUCGUCGCCAUAGGAUGAGACUGCGGCCUAUCAGCUUGUUGGUGAGGUAAUGGCCCACCAAGGCUAUUACAGGUACGGGCUCUGAGAGGAGAAGCCCGGAGAUGGGUACUGAGACACGGACCCAGGUCCUAUGGGGCGCAGCAGGCGAGAAACCUUUGCAAUGUGCGCAAGCACGACAAGGUUAAUCCGAGUGUUUCCUGCUUAAGGAAUCUUUUGUUAGUCCUAAAAACACUAGUGAAUAAGGGGUGGGCAAGUUCUGGUGUCAGCCGCCGCGGUAAAACCAGCACCUCAAGUGGUCAGGAGGAUUAUUCGGCCUAAAGCAUCCGUAGCUUGCUCUGUAAGUUUCCGGUUGAAUCCAUUAGCUCAACUAAUGGGCUGCAGGAAAAACUGCAGAGCUAGGAAGUGGGAGAGGUAGACGGUACUCGGUAGGAAGGGGUAAAAUCCUUUGAUCUAUUGAUGACCACCUGUGGCGAAGGCGGUCUACCAGAACACGUUCGACAGUGAGGGAUGAAAGCUGGGGGAGCAAACCGGAUUAGAUACCCGGGUAGUCCCAGCUGUAAACGAUGCAGACUCGGUGAUGCGCUGGCUUGUGGCCAGUGCAGUGCCGCAGGGAAGCCGUUAAGUUUGCCGCCUGGGAAGUACGUACGCAAGUAUGAAACUUAAAGGAAUUGGCGGGGGAGCACCACAAGGGGUGAAGCCUGCGGUUCAAUUGGAAUCAACGCCGGA